ensembl:lncRNA
CAUUACCUUUCUUUUGAUUGGAAUGAAAACUGACCUUUUCCAGUCCUGUGGCUGCUGCUAAGUUUUCCAAAUUUGCUGGCACGUUGACUUCAGGACUUUAACAGCGUCAUCUUUCAGGAUGUGAAUUAGCUCAGCUGGAAUUCCAUCACCUCAACUAGCUUUGUUCAUAGUGAUGGUUUCUAAGGCCCACUUGACUUCGCACUCCAGGAUGUCUGGCUCUACUUCUGGCCCAACUCAAGCCUCUCUUUGGACCACAGUUGAACAAUGAAACUAUCUGGUACCACAAGCAUCAUUGGCCUUCAGGAACAAGAUUUUCUCGCCAGUGCCCAGUGAUUGAGGUGAUAAAGAAAAUUCCUCUAGGUGCAAAAUUGUCUCCAUAGCCAGACCACCUUCUUUGACUCACCUUUUUGGCUACCAGCUGCCUUAAAUGAUUACACCACCUUUGAAUAUUAUUCUACAAUGUGGUAUUUUUUUCCUGCCACUUUUUUAUACUUUUGAGUUAUGUGCCUAUUCAGCCUAAACUGUGCUGACUCCAUGAAAUGUUUAUGUACUCCUCUGAGAUUAAAAAAAAAAGAAGUGCGGUUCUGAGAAAUACAUCACUUUCUUCCUGGAAGCUGUGGAUGUGAAGAUGGCUCCUG